AUUGAACGCUGGCGGCAGGCUUAACACAUGCAAGUCGAGCGGGGACUUCGGUCCUAGCGGCGAACGGGUGAGGAAUGCUUGGGAAUCUGCCCAGUAGCGGGGGAUAACGUUUCGAAAGGAACGCUAAUACCGCAUACGCCCUACGGGGGAAAGGGGGGGAUCUUCGGACCUCUCACUAUUGGAUGAGCCCAAGUCGGAUUAGCUAGUUGGUGGGGUAAAGGCCUACCAAGGCGACGAUCUGUAGCUGGUCUGAGAGGAUGAUCAGCCACACUGAAACUGAGACACGGUCCAGACUCCUACGGGAGGCAGCAGGGGGGAAUAUUGGACAAUGGGCGAAAGCCUGAUCCAGCCAUGCCGCGUGUGUGAAGAAGGCCUUCGGGUUGUAAAGCACUUUAAGCGAGGAGGAAUGGCUGAGGGUUAACAACCUUCAGCAGUGACGUUACUCGCAGAAUAAGCACCGGCUAACUCUGUGCCAGCCGCCGCCGUAAUAC
rnacentral:rRNA from 1 species